UGGUGGAGUGAUCUGUCUGCUCAAUUGCGAUAACGAACGAGACCUUAACCUACUAAAUAGUGUUGCUAGCAUCAGCUGGAUAUAAACACUUCUUAGAGGGACUAUCGAUUUCAAGUCGAUGGAAGUUUGAGGCAAUAACA
rnacentral:rRNA from 1 species